rnacentral:rRNA from 1 species
UACGUAGGGGGCGAGCGUUGUUCGGAUUGACUGGGCGUAAAGCGCGCGUAGGCGGGUCGGUAAGUCAGAGGUGAAAGCCCGGGGCUCAACCCCGGAAUGGCCUUUGAGACUCCCGGCCUGGAGUUCGAGAGAGGUGGGUGGAAUUCCGAGUGUAGAGGUGAAAUUCGUAGAUAUUGGGAAGAACACCGGUGGCGAAGGCGGCGACCUGGUCCGAGACUGACGCUGAGGCGCGAAAGCGUGGGGAGCAAACAGG